AUUGAACGCUGGCGGCAUGCCUCACACAUGCAAGUCGAACGGCAGCAUGGAGAGCUUGCUCUCUGAUGGCGAGUGGCGAACGGGUGAGUAAUGCAUCGGAACGUACCGUGUAAUGGGGGAUAACGUAGCGAAAGUUACACUAAUACCGCAUACGACCUGAGGGUGAAAGCAGGGGAUCGCAAGACCUUGCGUUAUACGAGCGGCCGAUGUCGGAUUAGCUAGUUGGUGAGGUAAAGGCUCACCAAGGCGACGAUCUGUAGCGGGUCUGAGAGGAUGAUCCGCCACACUGGGACUGAGACACGGCCCAGACUCCUACGGGAGGCAGCAGUGGGGAAUUUUGGACAAUGGAGGCAACCCUGAUCCAGCCAUGCCGCGUGAGUGAAGAAGGCCUUCGGGUUGUAAAGCUCUUUCGGCCGGGAAGAAAUCGCACAGGCUAAUACUCUGUGUGGAUGACGGUACCGGCAUAAGAAGCACCGGCUAACUACGUGCCAGCAGCCGCGGUAA
rnacentral:rRNA from 1 species